ensembl:lncRNA
UAAGAAUCUCGAUACAACAAGUAGCAGUAACAGACGGUAGUUACAGACUUCUCAAAAUGGUGAGCACAUGUGCUUUUACUAAACACGCCGGCAGGAAAUGUUGCUUUCAAGCAAGCACCUCAACGUAUCAUGAAUGUGCAACAGAAUAACUGAGGUGGUUACCGUUCCCUGCCGAUAUAUGGACAAGCACAAGCAUCACAGCGGGGAGACCCCAGCGUGAGGUGACACGUUCCGGACGCAUGCACUGAUAAACCCAGAACAACCGCCAGCUUUCCACACAAGCAUCAACGCAGACUCACACACUCUACACAGACUCAGAGCACUGUGUGCAGCCGGGGCUGGAUGGGCGCUCUGUGGACCCCUCCCUUUCCUCGCCCCAGAGCCUCCUAUAGCCAAGACAUCAAAGUAAUCAACCUCACCUGACCGGCCACACCUCUCGGCUGAACGGGACCAGCACCAUUUUAUUUUAGCCUUGAAAACAACAUUCUGUACUUGACUUAUAAUGGGGCUAAUUCCGAGAUCAAGGUUAAUUGCGGCAAAUUACAUGUCCUUUGAUUAGCAAGGCUCUGCCUAUUUUAGAGAUUAAAAUUGAACAAAGUUUAUAAUUUGAAAAGAUAAUAUCAAAGUCUAUCCCAUAAAACAAGAACGCUUCUGAUCUAAAAAUAGACAUGUAGAUAUAAGUGAAUAUCACAUGAUUGUGAUGAUGCAUUAUCAGUGCAUUCUACUGAUAAGACUCGACAUUUACUGUGUCAAGCUAUUUAUCAUUAUUCUAGAUAAAGUGUUUAUAAUGCUUUAGAUAUCUAAUUUUCAUAUGAUUAACUGUUAUUAUUGAAUGUAUAAUUUUUUUUUAUUAUUAAAUGUUUUGC